rnacentral:rRNA from 1 species
UAUUUAGGUAGCGCCUCGUGAACUCAUCUUCGGGGGUAGAGCACUGUUUCGGCUAGGGGGUCAUCCCGACUUACCAACCCGAUGCAAACUACGAAUACCGAAGAAUGUUAUCACGGGAGACACACGGCGGGUGCUAACGUCCGUCGUGAAGAGGGAAACAACCCAGACCGCCAGCUAAGGUCCCAAAGUCAUGGUUAAGUGGGAAACGAUGUGGGAAGGCACAGACAGCCAGGAUGUUGGCUUAGAAGCAGCCAUCAUUUAAAGAAAGCGUAAUAGUUC